AGCAGCCGCGGUAAUUCCAGCUCCAAUAGCGUAUAUUAAAGUUGUUGCAGUUAAAAAGCUCGUAGUUGAAUUUCGGGGUCAGUAGAUUGGUCGUGCCACUGGUAUGUACUGGUUUACUGGCUCCUCCUUCCUGAUGAACCGUAAUGCCAUUAAUUUGGUGUUGCGGGGAGACUGGACUGUUACUUUGAAAAAAUUAGAGUGUUUAAAGCAGGCUAACGCUUGAAUACAUUAGCAUGGGAUAAUGAAAUAGGACGUUCGAUCUUAUUUUGUUGGUUUCUAGGAUUGACGUAAUGAUUAAUAGGGAUAGUUGGGGGCAUUAGUAUUCAAUUGUCAGAGGUGAAAUUCUUGGAUUUAUUGAAGACUAACUACUGCGAAAGCAUUUGCCAAGGAUGUUUUCAUUAAUCAAGAACGAAAGUUAGGGGAUCGAAGACGAUCAGAUACCGUCGUAGUCUUAACCAUAAACUAUGCCGACUAGGGAUCGGAUGAUGUUAAUUUUUAAUGACUCAUUCGGCGCCUUACG
rnacentral:rRNA from 1 species